rnacentral:rRNA from 1 species
GAUGAACGCUAGCGAUAGGCCUUACACAUGCAAGUCGAGGGGCAGCACAUAAAUUGUAGCAAUACGAUUUUGGUGGCGACCGGCGCACGGGAGAGUAACGCGUAUGCAACCUACCUACUACUUUGGCAUAGCUCGUUGAAAGACGAAUUAAUACCUCAUAAAACAGGGGCUCCGCAUGGAGAUAUUUGUUAAAGAUUUAUCGGUAGUAGAUGGGCAUGCGUUCCAUUAGUUAGUUGGCGAGGUAACGGCUCACCAAGACAACGAUGGAUAGGGGAACUGAGAGGUUUAUCCCCCACACUGGAACUGAGACACGGUCCAGACUCCUACGGGAGGCAGCAGUGAGGAAUAUUGGUCAAUGGAGGCAACUCUGAACCAGCCAUGUCGCGUGAAGGAUGACGGCCCUACGGGUUGUAAACUUCUUUUUAAGGGAAUAAAGUGAGCCACGUGUGGCUUUUUGCAUGUACCUUACGAAUAAGGAUCGGCUAACUCCGUGCCAGCAGCCGCGGUAAU